rnacentral:pre_miRNA from 1 species
CCUCCGUCCGAAGUUGUGGUUUCAGUGUCCAACUUUAACUAUCCGUUUUAUUUAAAAUAUUUUUAGGGUUAUUAUUUUUAUGUUAUUAGAUGAUAAAAUAUGGAUAAUAUUUUAUGCGUGACUUAAGUUUUAAAUUUUUUCAUAAAUUUUUCAAAUAAAAGGUACGUUGGACUUAUAAUAGGACAUAGAGAGUACUGCUCAUC